AGUGAACGCUGGCGGUAGGCCUAACACAUGCAAGUCGAACGGCAGCACAGUAAGAGCUUGCUCUUACGGGUGGCGAGUGGCGGACGGGUGAGGAAUACAUCGGAAUCUACUUUUUCGUGGGGGAUAACGUAGGGAAACUUACGCUAAUACCGCAUACGUCCUACGGGUGAAAGCAGUGGAUCUUCGGACCUUGCGCGAUUGAAUGAGCCGAUGUCGGAUUAGCUAGUUGGCGGGGUAAAGGCCCACCAAGGCGACGAUCCGUAGCUGGUCUGAGAGGAUGAUCGGCCACACUGGAACUGAGACACGGUCCAGACUCCUACGGGAGGCAGCAGUGGGGAAUAUUGGACAAUGGGCGCAAGCCUGAUCCAGCCAUACCGCGUGGGUGAAGAAGGCCUUCGGGUUGUAAAGCCCUUUUGUUGGGAAAGAAAAGCAGCAGAUUAAUACCCCGCUGUUCUGACGGUACCCAAAGAAUAAGCACCGGCUAACUUCGUG
rnacentral:rRNA from 1 species